AGCGAACGCUGGCGGCGUACUUAACACAUGCAAGUCGAACGAGGAGCUUCGGUGUAGCAAUACAUCGGAGCUUCUAGUGGCGUACGGGUGAGUAACACGUGGGCAGCCUGCCCUUGAGUCCGGGAUACCCUCUCGAAAGGGAGGCUAAUACUGGAUACGUUCUUCGGAUCGCGAGAUCUGGAGAGGAAAGGUGGCGAAAGCUGCCGCUCUUGGAGGGGCNCGCGGCCUAUCAGCUAGUUGGUGAGGUCACGGCUCACCAAGGCUAUGACGGGUAGCUGGUCUGAGAGGACGACCAGCCACACGGGAACUGAGACACGGUCCCGACUCCUACGGGAGGCAGCAGUGGGGAAUUUUCCGCAAUGGGCGAAAGCCUGACGGAGUGACGCCGCGGUGGGGGAGUGAAGGCC
rnacentral:rRNA from 1 species